ACGAGUUUCGAGUCCUGGCUACAGGACAACGCUGGACGGCGUGCUUAACACAUGCAAGUCGAACGAUGAAGCCCAGCUUGCUGGGUGGAGUUAGUGGCGAACGGGUGAGUAACACGUGAGUAACCUGCCCUUGACUUCGGGAUAACUCCGGGAAACCGGGGCUAAUACCGGAUAUGAGCUACCUUCGCAUCGGGGGUGGUUGGAAAGUUUUUCGGUCAGGGAUGGGCUCGCGGCCUAUCAGCUUGUUGGUCGGGGUGAUGGCCUACCAAGGCGACGACGGGUAGCCGGCCUGAGAGGGCGACCGGCCGCACUGGGACUGAGACACGGCCCAGACUCCUACGGGAGGCAGCAGUGGGGAAUAUUGCACAAUGGGCGCAAGCCUGAUGCAGCGACGCCGCGUGAGGGAUGAAGGCCUUCGGGUUGUAAACCUCUUUCAGCAGGGAAGAAGCGCAAGUGACGGUACCUGCAGAAGAAGCGCCGGCUAACUACGUG
rnacentral:rRNA from 1 species